UACGUAGGUGGCAAGCGUUGUCCGGAUUUACUGGGCGUAAAGAGCGCGCAGGCGGUCGUUCAAGUCGCGUGUGAAAGCCCCCCGGCUCAACUGGGGAGGGUCACGCGAUACUGAUCGACUCGAAGGCAGGAGAGGGAAGUGGAAUUCCCGGUGUAGUGGUGAAAUGCGUAGAUAUCGGGGAGGAACACCAGUGGCGAAGGCGACUUCCUGGCCUGUUCUUGACGCUGAGGCGCGAAAGCUAGGGGAGCAAACGGG
rnacentral:rRNA from 1 species